rnacentral:tRNA from 1 species
GGAAACGUGCCUGAACCCAAAGGGCCACUUUGAUAGAGUGGAACAUGGAGGUUAGACCCCUCCCGCUUCCU